GUGAAUGAGUGAGAGCGGAAGUGUGGAUAUUUUGUUUAUGUUUUAGUUUUUGUGCUGAAAUUGGAGCGGAAUUGACUGCUGUUUUGUGAACGUUGCAGAUUCAACAACGUAUUAAAAUUAAGCUCCCGCUUCGCUGAUGUUUUCUACGUCCUGCCCCCUGGCGGCCGUCUCGCUAAUUAAAAACAUUGUUGCGGGAAAAUGAGAAUCGCAGAACGCGGGACAACCUUCCUUCCGGAAGAUGUAUAGCACGCGUUGGGGACUAAGUGAGUAACAUCUGGAACAAAGGGGGCUCGUUCCUACGGGACUUGAUUUAUAUAAACUUUAAGCCAAGUCACUGGAUUGUUUGCAGAGGCUGCACUUC